rnacentral:rRNA from 1 species
CAGUAGCCGCGGGAACACGUAGGCAGCGAGCGUUGUUCGGAAUUACUGGCCGUAAAGGGCGCGUAGGCGGCGGCCAAAGUCAGGCGUGAAAUUCCCGGGCUCAACCUGGGGGCUGCGUUUGAUACUUGGUUGCUUGAGUGGGGAAGAGGGUCGUGGAAUUCCCAGUGUAGAGGUGAAAUUCGUAGAUAUUGGGAAGAACACCGGUGGCGAGGGCGGCGACCUGGUCCUUUACUGACGCUGAGUCGCGAAAGCGUGGGGAGCAAACAGGAUUAGAUACCCGUGUAGUCCCUGUCUCUUAUAA